rnacentral:sRNA from 2 species
CAUAAGUUUGUGAUAUGGGUCUCUAUCACUCCUGCAAAUCAUUGGCGCGAAAAUAACCCUGCAUACAGCCAGCCACGAACGGACUAAACCUGUAGCAAGUUGAGCUUUAUUUGACCGUCUCUGUUAUACAUUGACCCUUCUAUCUGUUGGCCUAUGGAUACUAUUGACACCUAUGAUUGUUGUGCCACAAUCAUAUAUCACCGACUGUGCGCUGUAGUUGGUAGAUCAAGGUUGAUGCUUCCGCUAGUGACCAAAUCGGGCCUGGGAUUAUACAGGUCGGACGACAUAGUUAGCGGUUCACAUUUAGUUCAUGCCUCCUGUAAAAGGACAGUAGGAGUCAUUAGCAAGCUUCGAAGAGACGAUAAAAUCAACGGGGAAG